GCCGGGCGCGGUGGCUCACGCCUGUAAUCCCAGUACUUUGGGAGGCUGAGGUGGGUGGAUCACCUGAGGUCAGGAGUUUGAGACCAGCCUGGCCAACAUGGUGAAACCCCGUCUCUA
rnacentral:sRNA from 1 species